rnacentral:rRNA from 1 species
GCAAGUCGAGCGGUAGAGAGAAGCUUGCUUCUCUUGAGAGCGGCGGACGGGUGAGUAAUGCCUAGGAAUCUGCCUGGUAGUGGGGGAUAACGUUCGGAAACGGACGCUAAUACCGCAUACGUCCUACGGGAGAGAGCAGGGGACCUUCGGGCCUUGCGCUAUCAGAUGAGCCUAGGUCGGAUUAGCUAGUUGGUGGGGUAAUGGCUCACCAAGGCGACGAUCCGUAACUGGUCUGAGAGGAUGAUCAGUCACACUGGAACUGAGACACGGUCCAGACUCCUACGGGAGGCAGCAGUGGGGAAUAUUGGACAAUGGGCGAAAGCCUGAUCCAGCCAUGCCGCGUGUGUGAAGAAGGUCUUCGGAUUGUAAAGCACUUUAAGUUGGGAGGAAGGGCAGUAAAUUAAUACUUUGCUGUUUUGACGUUACCGACAGAAUAAGCACCGGCUAACUCUGUGCCAGCAGCCGCGGUAAUACAGAGGGUGCAAGCGUUAAUCGGAAUUACUGGGCGUAAAGCGCGCGUAGGUGGUUAGUUAAGUUGGAUGUGAAAUCCCCGGGCUCAACCUGGGAACUGCAUUCAAAACUGACUGACUAGAGUAUGGUAGAGGGUGGUGGAAUUUCCUGUGUAGCGGUGAAAUGCGUAGAUAUAGGAAGGAACACCAGUGGCGAAGGCGACCACCUGGACUGAUACUGACACUGAGGUGCGAAAGCGUGGGGAGCAAACAGGAUUAGAUACCCCUGGUAGUCCACGCCGUAAACGAUGUCAACUAGCCGUUGGGGAGCUUGAGCUCUUAGUGGCGCAGCUAACGCA